rnacentral:ncRNA from 2 species
UUUCUUUCAAACGGAAAUGGUUAUCGGCGAAAGCCGGUAUUAAAAGGGAAUCGUGUGCAAAUCACGAACUGUCGCGCAACUGUAAGUAACGCAAAAGUUUUUACCCAUGUUGUCCACUGCCUGUACAGGUGGGAAGGACGGUAAAAAUGUUACAAGUCAGGAGACCUGCCAUAACUAACUUGACAAU